ensembl:lncRNA
GUUCUCCUUCUCUUUAAUUAUCUGUGAAGCAGGAUCCUCUUCCAGCUGUGAAUCACACAGAAGAAGGAGGUAUCGCACUGAUAUUCUUCCAGAAAAGCAAAAACUGAAUUGGAUUAAGGUUUCCCAGCCCUCUGAUCAUCUUUGUGACCUUCAAGAUAUUUUCACCUUCAAGAUAUAACAAGACUGUUGAGAUCCAGGAAGGAACAGCUGACAGACUGCUCAGGCAUGGAAGCAAAUCUAGUCCUUGGAAUGUUAUCAAAAUACUUCCAACUAAAAGUUCUGUGGCACGGAUCUUUAGGAACAGCAUAUAAACUGUCACUAUGAUUAACUCCUACUUUACACAGCAACAGAAGUGUGAGGGUAUCUCUUGAAGGCACAGGUGGGCCUGGUGGCAUUAAAGAAGUUGACCACUGGAAACCACUACCAGGCAGUGGAGAUGUCAGCAGUUGACCAACUAGUGUUGCUGUCAGUAGGGAUGGGAAGACUUUCAGGGACCGUGUGCUCUUUCUGGACACACCAAUGAGCUGCACAUCUUUGUGCCAGGCACACCACCUCCUGGGCUUUCACUGCUGGGAUCAAUUUCUCCUGACAGUCCUGAUCACAGAAACCAAAAUCUAACCUAAAUCAAUAAAAGGGGAUUUAUUAGAAAGUAAACUUGGGACAGGACAACUUGUUACGUUGUUUGUUUGUUUGUUUUUUUCCAGACAGUCUCAAAAACCCCAAGAUACUUCUUAUGAAAUAUCUUCCUUUCCCUUAUAAAACCAAAUGCUCUGUUAUUGUUCUUUCUAAUACUCUUGAAAGAAAAAAAAAAUGGCUUAAGGUGGUCUUGAAUGGCACAAAUCUAACCAAGUUUCAGGAGGAGACAAGCCAUGCAGAAGUUCAGAAGAGUGGAUAUGAAGUAUUUUAUCGAACAAAAAAUCUUAAAAUCCUGGAAAGGACACUUAUGGCUGAGAGCAACAAUACCCAGAGGGUUGAAUUUAGCCUACAAGAGCACUGCACACAGAACUGGAUUAGAAAUGAAAGCUGCAUGAUGCUUUUACAAACUGAGUUCAUGAAAAAAUAUAACAGUUCUAAAUACAAAUCCUACCAGUCCCUAGGAGGUGUGUCAUUUACUGCAAAAGCUGAUUACACUUCAUUAUCUCUUUUUUAUCAAGUGAUGUGGCAAGCAUUGCAGUCAUGAAUGUACUACUAGCUAGGAUCUAAUCUUAGUAAAAAAAUUAAAAGAACACAAAAACAUCUUUUCAUGCACCAAAAUAACAGAACACCAGAACAUACAGGAUCUGUGAAAGCUGUAAAAUAACAUUAAUCAAAGAUGAUGCAUACAGUCUUUCCUCCGCGUUCAUUAAUAACAUAUGGGCAUUUGGGAUAGUGCUGGCUUUUCUUAAAAAUAGAGAUGAUAAAGUAUAAAUCAAAUUAGGCACUCUACCUAAAAUGCAAAUUCUACUACCAGAUUCCAG